AUUUCAGCUUGAUCAUCUUUGAGGGACUAUUGAUGCUUUUGGUAUCAGCAGCCACAGAAUUCAUCAGACACAGCACAAAAGAGCAGGAGAAGAGAUAAUGGCAGAUGCCAGAAAGUUGUCCAGCUGGUUACUACCUCUCCUCUUCACCUGAUUAUAUCUGAUUACUGCUGACUCGAUGGGCAGGGAGAGUCGCUGACUCCUGACAGAAUGACUCUGUCACCCCUUAGCUGGGGAGAACUCCUGACCAGCGUGACACCUAACAUUGGAGUGAAGGGGCAGCAGAUGUGACUUGUUCCUCCUUGCCUUCCACCGUGAUUGUGAGGCCUCCCCAGCCACGUGAAAUGAGAUCCAGUUUGGCAUUCUGUCUAAGUUCACUGCACAGAGACGGGUUUGGCUCUGUGAUUCAUCAGAAAUAAGAAAAACAAACACUGUAAAUGGAGAACUUGAAAAACAGGUGGGCACCAUCUCCCCACCCAAGAGAAUGGAUUUAAGAGGAAAUUUGUUUAUGGGAUGAAGUUUUAAAAGGCGACCUGGAAAAUUUAGCAAAGAUGUAAAUAAACAACUCUUCCUUGGAUUGCAUUAGGCUUCAGAAUAAAUAUAUUAACCAGCUUCAGUCAAAGUCUGCCUAGAAUCUGACCCUGACAAGACCCAGUGACUAGUGCUGCUCCCAACCUUCCCCACAAACAGCAGGCAAUCUUCUCUGUGGCAAAGCUACCUCGAAACAGGCAUCCAGGCUUCCCUCCCACGAAGUGAAGAUGAGAAAACUGAGUCUCAGAAUGGACAAGCUCACAGAUGGCAAGUGGUAGAGCAGACUUCACACAUAGAAAUGGCCACCCACUUUGGAAUAAAGAGGACAUAUAAUUUGCCUAAGGUCACAUAGCACUCUCUAAAUCAGUACAGUAUUUUAGACAAAGCUUCAACUUUGCACUUUUAUGGGUCAUUUUGAUAUAAGACUACAAGGAUAUCUCCUCCCAUGACAAACUUGACUUCAUUUACAACAAAAGGCCAAGCAAGAUACAGUACACUGUGGGGAUAAAUGGUACUCACUGAGGACAGGAAUAUGCUGACAUUAUCUCAAUAUCCUCCUGCCUCCUGUUGUUCUCCUUUGGAUGCUUUCCUGGACUAUAGGGAGAAGGAAAAUGGAGAAAGGCCAACUGCGACUAGGCCAGAGAUCAGAUGUUACCUUGUAGGAAGCAUCUCAUUCUAACCUUAAGUACUCUCUUGAUGAAGUACGGGGCCAAGAGAUUUUGGAAUUCUACCACACAAGGUUGCUCAACAUUCCAAGAAGUAUUGAUAACUCUUCAAGAGCAAAAGUCAUUUAAAUUAAACUUCUCUGGCCGGGCAUGGUAGCUCAUAUCUGUAAACCCAGCACUUUGGGAGGCUGAGGCUGGAAGAUCACUUGAACUUAGGAGUUUGAGACCAACCUGGACAAUGUAGCGAGACCUGGUCUGUACUAAAAUUCAAAAACUAAAUAAAUAAAACAAAAAAUAAACUUCCCUAGCUCUGAUGAAUAAAAAAUUUCCCCCAAGACUAA